GGGAGGUGUGGGGGGGGAGGGGAGCAGAUCAGAGGAGCUUAGCUUAGAGCCAGAGGCUUCCCCAUUCUACCUGGGGCUCUGGGGCAGCCCCCCGCCAGCUUCCUGGACAUCCCAGUUUCCCACAGUAUAAUAUGGAGGCGAAAAAAUGGGUGUUGGGCAUAGCUGCAGGCAAGUGUGCUGCCUGGCGCCUCCUGGGAGCUCAGGUGUUUUGGAGCUGGGACGGCUAGCAGCAGGGUUCCCUGCACCCUCUGACCCCUCCUCUCCCAGAACCAAAGCCUGUCCCUCGGGCUCUGACCUGGAUUCAUGGAGGGCUGUUCCUUGCUCCCUUGCGGGACACAGAGGGCCAGUUGGACCAGGAUGAAGGACAGGGCUCCUGGGAGCUGUGGGUUCCCUUCCCCCUGCAGCUCUUCAUGGGUUCCCAGAGUCAGGCCCACCCUGCCUUCAGCGCCUCUCACAGGCACCUUGUGCCUGCUGAGAGGCCAAGGCUCUCAGACCAUGUGCAGACUUUUUAUUUAUUCAUUCAAUCAGAAGCCGUGGUAAUGCUGGGGCUCCUGAACUUACAGUCACACGGUGAGAGCUGAAGUGAAGGCUGUUUGUUCCCGCACACUUGCAGCUUCCAGAGCAUCUUACUUUGCCCUCCCCCUGCUCCCCCAGAGUCCCAGUGCCUGGGACUGUGCUUGGAGCUCAGUGAACGAAAGAAUGAAUGAAUGAAGAGGUCUGAAUGAGUUGAAAGUGACCCUGGGAUCCCCGAAGCUGAUCUCAGCCCUAGAAAUGGGGGAGGGGAGGUCCAGGUGACCUUCCUGGCUGUGGCCCCGUGGCCACAGCCCUGUCCUGAGCGUCCUGUCCUCUGCCUUUCCCCACCCUGCAUCCAGCAGCCUGUGCCAAGUGACAGGGGUGCAGCAAUGAGCAAACCACCCAGAUGCCCUGAUGUGCAAUGCACGAUUUGAAAAAGGGAAGACCACCUGCUCAGGGCUGGAGCUGUUUAUCAUCGCUCCAACUUUCACUAAAAAGGAAAAACUAUCACUUAAACAAAGCCAUUGAAAACUCAGCAUCAUAUGUGGAUUUCUUAACAUAAAUAAAUCAUACAAACCAAGAUUUAUGUUCUCCCAAUGAUGUCAUUCGCUGAAGGCUGCCUUCCCAAUCAAAUCAGCGGUUAGUGACUCUCCUUUUGUGUGUGUGUGCUUUUUGCAAAAUAAGAAAAGCAGCGCUGGCAUCCUGGCUGCUCUCUUUCUCUGCUCCGCCCAGGACAUCAGAAAGGUCUCUCCCUGCAUCAGCACAACUGGUUCUAAACGGUGAGCACGGAUUCAAUGCCACAGAUGGCAUUUCAAGCCUUUGUUUUUGAAAUGCAGGUUCUAAGUUGAAAGACUGUUAAGGCUUCCUGAAGGAUUUGCUCAGACUCCAGCAGAAGCUGGGGGCUCUGGGGGUCUCUCAGAGCCUAGGAUGAGUUUCGCUGCAGGGUCAUCACGUUGAAAUGAGCGAGGACCGCGACAGGCACCCAUGAUGGGGAGAUGAGAUGUGGUCGCUCCGUACAGUGGAGAAGUGUCAGUCACAGCAAGGAACGAAGCCCUGAUAAUGGACCACAGUGUGCACGAAGUUGGUGAAUGAAGUCAGUCAGAGCAGGUCACGUACCAUUCCAUUCUACCUAUGUAGAAUGCCCCUACCAGGAUGGGCAAAUCCACAGAGACAGAAAAGAAACAAGUGGUUGCCAGGGUAGGGGAGAGGACGUGGCAGGUGACUGCUUCCUUGGCACAGGGUUUCCUCCUGGGAAGAUGAAAAUGUUCUGGAAACAGACGCCCACUUUGUUUAUUUACUAAAGUCUUCCUUGUCUUUUUGAUUUUAUUGGCUGCACCAGGUCUUAGCUGCAGCACAUAGGAUCUUCAUUGCAGUGUGCAGGAUAUUUACUUGCAGCAUGCAAAGUCUUCGUUGCAGCAUGCAGGAUCUAGGGGUCAAAUCCGGGUCCUCUGUGUUGGGAGAGCAGAGUCUUAGCUACUGGACCGCCAGGGAUAUCCCAGACAGCCCACUUAAAAAUGGAGACUGUUGUGCUUUGUUAAUUGUAUCUCAAUAAAUCUGUUAUUUAAAAAUCA